UACGAAGGGGGCUAGCGUUGCUCGGAAUCACUGGGCGUAAAGCGCACGUAGGCGGCUUUCUAAGUCAGGGGUGAAAUCCUGGAGCUCAACUCCAGAACUGCCUUUGAUACUGGAGAGCUUGAGUCCGGAAGAGGUGAGUGGAACUGCGAGUGUAGAGGUGAAAUUCGUAGAUAUUCGCAAGAACACCAGUGGCGAAGGCGGCUCACUGGCCCGGUACUGACGCUGAGGUGCGAAAGCGUGGGAGCAAACAGG
rnacentral:rRNA from 1 species